CGGAGGAUAUAUACGAAUAUGGCAUUGUUGGAUGCUAAGUUGGCACUUUGAUAUCUAAAUUAUUAUAGCUUGCCCUAACACUGAAUUUUGAUCCAUGCAUUGUCGGCACAUGAAUGUAUUGUUAGGGUUCACUUUGAAAAUUAUUUUAUCUGUGGUAUUCAAAUAACCUAAGGAAGAAAACCCCUUAGGGCUGGAAUUAGAUGGACACCUCCCCUAAUUACAGUCAUUGCAUUACUGGACGGAAAUCUCUAAUUCAAACUUCGAGAGAUCUCAUCCAAUUAUCAUAUAUGCACCUCAAGUUGAAAGGCAUAUCAAAUUCAUUGUUAAAAAAAAACUGUUACGAGUCUGGAUACAAGAUAUUCUCGAUAAUUUGGUGGCUGCUCACAAAGAGUCAAUUGUCUUUACUUGGAGCAGCAUAUUUUGUCAAUAGCGGAUUUGGCUAGUGAGAAUUGGCCUUAUUUUGACAGUGAUUAUUAAUCUGCAUAGCACGAUAAUAUCCAAGAACCAUGUUGAUGCAAUAUAUUCAUUGCAAGGUCUAAAGUGGUGGUGAAUCAUAUUCUAGAGAUGCACUUAUUUUUCCUUAUUGUGUGUCGGUAGCUAUAUGAGUAUAAAUCAACAAUUCUAAAUAUCAGUGUCCCGUAUUCUUCUUCAUGUUCCAAAACAGCAAUGCAAACGCCUCUCAGGUCUUCCAAAUUUGAAAUAAAAUACAAGGGCGAAAAGCAUGAGGAAAGGGAAAGGUUUGUCUCGUUGAACAGGCAAUACAACGUGGCACAAACACACCUCAUUUUCCAGCCUUCUGAAAGUCUAAGGAAACCGGUCGGAUGUGAAUCUUUUCCGAUGUGCGUGAGACAAUACUGGUGGGCUAUGCCCACGUUAUAAUAGCCUAUCAGCUAAUGAAUGCAAGCUAAUUCCCUACAGUAUUUAGAAUUUCCACCAGAAAAACUUGUUUACAUAUUGAAUUAUCCAACUCUUUAUGGACCUACGCGGCCCCUCCAAUUUACUAGGGCUAACUACUAGCACUUGCACCCCAACGAGGUGCAAUGGUUACACCGAUAGGAAGAUAUACUUUGUGUUUGCACUUUGAAAAUGUUAGACCAAAUUGCUAAUCAUGGUAAGAGAAAAGUAGGAAAGCAAAUAUGCACAAUAACAAUCCAAUAUAAGUGAAAAAUGGAGUGUUCAGAGAAGUGAAUUUGCAUAUGCAUACAUCUAAACCAACACAUACAUAUUGUUGCAAUUGUUCACAUCAAAUGUACUCGACAUAGAUAUAAUAUAAGGGACAGAUGCAGUAUUGGAAGAA